rnacentral:lncRNA from 1 species
UUCUGCUAUUUCAAUAAAAUUGCAGUUGAUGUGUUCCGUCACUUGUCUGCAAAAUGACCAUUUUAAUUUGCUUGAAUUUGCUCUGAUUUUCAGGUGGUCUCUGAGGUAACAUAACUACUGUUCGGAUUUGCAGGUGCUCCCCAAAGUAGUGUUGCUACUACUGGGAUUUGCAGGUCCUCCUUGAGCCAGUGGCUACAUGUGAAAGUGAUUCAGCACGCUAGUUGGAAAAACAGGACUGCACAAAGAGUGUGGGGGCCAAACCAUUUGCUGCCCACUGCUGAGAACAGGGAACCCACAGUCAGCAGGACUGAUGUAAAAGACUUAGAGAGCUAUAGGCAGAAAUUUACAUCUCUAUCCUCUUGUGAACAGCGUCCAACAGCCACCUAUGCCAUGGAAGGAGUAGGACAUACAGAGUAGGGGAGAGCUGCGUACCUAUCAUCCAGUAAAGAAAUGAACAGCCUGUUUCUUCGUUGCGGAUCAUUGCAUUUGGUUCCAAUAAUUAUUGGAUGAGGGCUUUAAGAUGAUAGUUGAGACAUUCAUCAAUCUGAUUAUAAGUGGAGGCCAGGCAUCCCCUCUACUAUUACUAGGAGUCUUAGACCAAGCUCUGGAAUCCAGUUGAAGAGAAGAGGGAAGGAAUAUAUGAGCAAGAGAGGUCAAGAUCAUGAUGAAGAAAUCUACAGAGAUACCUGAUCCAAGCUCACGGAAACUCAUGAACUCUAGACCUACAACUGUGGAAACUUUAGGGCAUUGAACUAGGCCUUCCAUAUGUGGGAGUCAGUUGUGAAGCUUGGACUAUCAGAGGGGUCCCUGACAGUAGAACUAUGAUACAAACCCGGUACAUGAGCUAGCUUGUUGGAGCCCAUUCCCUAGGGUGGGAUGCCAUGCUCAGCCCUUAUAGCAUGGGAGAGGGGCCUGACUCUGCCCCAACCUAUUGUGCCAGACUAUGUUGACUCCUCAUGUCCUCAUGUGAGUCCUUACCUGUGAGAAGGAGUGGACUGAGGGUGGUCUAUGGAGGAGGCGACAAGGGUGGGAGGAGGUGGGGAGAUGAGAGGAGGGUGGAAGGGAGAACUGUGGUUGGAAUAUAAAAUGAAAUAAAAAAAUAAGAAAAAUGCAAAAAAGAAAAUAAACAGC